rnacentral:rRNA from 1 species
CUCCGGUUGAUCCUGCCGGACCCGACUGCUAUCAGAGUGGGACUAAGCCAUGCGAGUCAACAUAGCAAUAUGUGGCAUACGGCUCAGUAACACGUAGUCAACAUGCCCAGGGGACGUGGAUAACCUCGGGAAACUGAGGAUAAACCGCGAUAGGUCAUCACUUCUGGAAUGGGUAAUGACUUAAAUCUAUAUGGCCCCUGGAUUGGACUGCGGCCGAUCAGGCUGUUGGUGAGGUAAUGGCCCACCAAACCUGUAACCGGUACGGGCUCUGAGAGGAGGAGCCCGGAGAUGGGCACUGAGACAAGGGCCCAGGCCCUAUGGGGCGCAGCAGGCGCGAAACCUCUGCAAUAGGCGAAAGCUUGACAGGGUUACUCUGAGUGAUUUCCGUUAAGGAGAUCUUUUGGCACCUCUAAAAAUGGUGCAGAAUAAGGGGUGGGUAAGUCUGGUGUCAGCCGCCGCGGUAAUACCAGCACCCCGAGUGGUCGGGACGUUUAUUGGGCCUAAAGCAUCCGUAGCCGGUUCUACAAGUCUUCCGUUAAAUCCACCUGCUUAACAGAUGGGCUGCGGAAGAUACUAUAGAGCUAGGAGGCGGGAGAGGCAAGCGGUACUCGAUGGGUAGGGGUAAAAUCCGUUGAUCCAUUGAAGACCACCAGUGGCGAAGGCGGCUUGCCAGAACGCGCUCGACGGUGAGGGAUGAAAGCUGGGGGAGCAAACCGGAUUAGAUACCCGGGUAGUCCCAGCUGUAAACGAUGCAGACUCGGUGAUGAGUUGGCUUAUUGCUAACUCAGUGCCGCAGGGAAGCCGUUAAGUUUGCCGCCUGGGGAGUACGGUCGCAAGACUGAAACUUAAAGGAAUUGGCGGGGGAGCA